CAUUUCUGCAACAGCUCGGGGCAGAGGGCACCCUCGGGGCAGUGCAGCCCUGGGGUAUUUCUGUCCCCAGGGCACAGCUCUUCCCAUUGCCUGUCCUGCAGGAUCCUACAACCCUUCACUGAGCCAGAGCAGCUGCCUGCCCUGUCCUGAAGGGUUCUUCUGCCCCAAGAAUUCCUCUUCCAUUUUGGAGAAUGAAUGUCCCCCUGGCCACUACUGCCCUGCAGGCACUGCCUCUGCAGCUCAGUUCCCAUGUCCCAGAGGGACUUAC